rnacentral:tRNA from 1 species
GCCUGGCUGGCUCAGUCGGAGCAGCAUGUGACUCUUGAUCUCAGGGUCAUGAGUUCGACCCCCAUGACAGGUG